UAGACGUAAGACGGUUCGGGCGUCCUCUCCCAGCCGCCUCCUCUUCUCCCUCGACCAUGAGGCUCCUCUCGCGCCGCCCGCCUCCUCUUCUCCUUCCUUUCUCUGGACCGGGUGCGUAGUCGCCGCCGUUUAUGUCCGCGCAGCCGACCAGCUUCGCGGUGCCCGGAGCGCCUCCGGAGUUCGUCCCCCUUCCCUGCUACUCUGCUCUCAUUACGGAAGGUCGGAUCACCCUCGCCCGGCAUCGCUCGGUGAAUAAGACAGACGAAAUUGAUGUGCGCUUCCUCUCCUCUCCCCCAACGAAGGCGGAAGAUGCAAGCGGUGGCUCCUCACCUAGCCGUAUGGUGAUGGAUUCAAUGGAGAAGAGGAAGCAUGUUCCCUCCAUUACCUGAAUUUGUUGUCUGACUGUCCAAACGAAUUGGAUCACCUCGCUAUGGAAUUAGGAGAAGACAGUUACUUGAUCUGACUGUUUACAGUUCCACGGUUUUUCAGAGAUCUAAAAGACUAUCAGGAUAAACAAAUUCAAUCUGAAUUAUGGAAGUACAUGUUGUUCUAUGUUUUGGGCAUGUAGCAAGCCUAGGAAAAGUUUCAGGAAGUGAGUAUGCAAGAUAACUUCAAGCAAAGUGUACAGAGGCUGCAGCUGAAGCUGGAUUUUGAAGGUUGCAAGUUGGAUUCUAUUGGAACAAUCACUGAAAAUGAUGAGAGAGUUUGUCUCACAUGUGCUGCUCACUGAUGAGAAGUAGAUUGAAGUGAAUGGUGCUAGAGAAGAAGGAGCGGUCGGGAAAGUACACCAGUGAUGCCCUGCAAGGCGAGCAACAGGAAGCUAAGGAGAUGCUUAGUGUAAUCCCUGAGAAGCAAAGAGCGAACCAAAGAACAUGUCCGCUUCAAGGGUGCAACAGGAGUAGUCUGAUGAUAAGGCUGAAGCUAUUUCAGCAACUGUUGAAGGAAAGAAUGAUAAGGCUGACCAGUGUUAGAUGACCAAGACCGAAAACAAAAGGAGCUCUACUACUGGAAGGCAUAUUAAAGAAAUCAAGGCAGUGACUACUCUGCGCCAGCUAUGCAGAGAUUAAUUACCUAUAGGUUACCUAUCCUAUAAUAUUAGCUUCUCCUCGACUGACAUCUCAAGAGGAAAAUGGUCCUUCAUGCAACUAGGCUCACCAUCAACAAUGCUCCGCUACAAUGCUCUUUGACCAGCUUCAAGAGAGUCUCUUAAUGCGUCUGCUACUUGCAUGAACAAAGCCACGACCAGGAUUUAUGUAACCAGUGAACUGAAUGCUCCUUAUUAAGCAUGCUCUAAAACUAGAGUCUUUGGCUGCUCAGGUAGCUAUCUCAAAGCAAAGCAAAAACAAAAACUCCCGUAUAUUAUGAAGUGAACUCUAGCUUAUUGUGCAUGUGUUGUUUGA